AUCGAACGCUGGCGGCAGGCCUAACACAUGCAAGUCGAACGAGUGGCGGACGGGUGAGUAAUGCCUGGGAAACUGCCUGUUGGAGGGGGAUAACUACUGGAAACGGUAGCUAAUACCGCUUACCAUAUGAAGUGCCCAGAUGGGAUUAGCUAGUUGGUGGGGUAACGGCUCACAAGGGCGACGAUCCCUAGCUGGUCUGAGAGGAGGACCAGCCCAACAGGAACUGGGCCACGGUCCGGAUGCCUACGGAAGGAAGAAGUGGGGAAGAUUGGACAAGGAGCACAAGCCUUAUGAAGCCAGGCCGCGGGUAUGAAGAAGGCCGUCGGGUUGAAAAGUACUGUCAGCGGGGAGGCGUUACCCGCAGAGGAAGCACCGGCUAACUCCGUGCCAGCAGCCGCGGUAAUUC
rnacentral:rRNA from 1 species